rnacentral:tRNA from 1 species
AAGUAUGAAGUAAAAAAUUACAUUUAGUUUCGACCUAAAAAUUGGGAUUUAUAUCCCCUUACUUU